UCGGGAAUUUUGGGCAAUGGGCGAAAGCCUGACCCAGCAACGCCGCGUGAGGGAUGAAGUAUUUCGGUAUGUAAACCUCGAAAGAAUGGGAAGAAUAAAUGACGGUACCAUUUAUAAGCUCCGGCUAACUACGUGCCAGCAGCCGCGGUAAUACGUAGGGAGCAAGCGUUGUUCGGAUUUACUGGGCGUAAAGGGCGCGUAGGCGGCGCGGUAAGUCACUUGUGAAAUCUCUGAGCUUAACUCAGAACGGCCAAGUGAUACUGCUGUGCUAGAGUGCGGAAGAGGCAACCGGAAUUCUUGGUGUAGCGGUGAAAUGCGUAGAUAUCAAGAGGAACACCUGAGGUGAAGGCGGGUUGCUGGGCCGACACUGACGCUGAUGCGCGAAAGCCAGGGGAGCAAACG
rnacentral:rRNA from 1 species